AUUGAACGCUGGCGGCAGGCUUAACACAUGCAAGUCGAACGAGUGGCGGACGGGUGAGUAAUGCUUGGAAAUCUAGCUUAUGGAGGGGGAUAACUACGGGAAACUGUAGCUAAUACCGCGUACCAUAGGAUGAGCCCAAGGGUGCUUAGGUAGUUGGUGUGGUAAAGGAUCACCAAGCCGACGCUCGAUAGCCGGGCUGAGAGGAUGACCAGCAACACGGGGACUGGGAAACGGCCCAGACUCCGAGGGGAGGAAGAAGUGGGAAAUAUUGCGCAAGGGGGGCAACCGGACGAAGCCAUGCCGCGUGAAUGAAGAAGGCCUGCGGGUUGUAAAGUUCUUUCGGUAGCGAGGCGUUAACUACAGAAGAAGCACCGGCUAACUCCGUGCCAGCAGCCGCGGUAAUUC
rnacentral:rRNA from 1 species